ACUCCUACGGAAGGCAGCAGUGAGGAAUAUUGGUCAAUGGGCGCAAGCCUGAACCAGCCAUCCCGCGUGAAGGAAGAAUGCGCUAUGCGUUGUAAACUUCUUUUCCAGGGGAAUAAAAUUUCGUACGAGUACGGGACUGAAGGUACCUUGGGAAUAAGCAUCGGCUAACUCCGUGCCAGCAGCCGCGGUAAU
rnacentral:rRNA from 1 species